AUUGAACGCUGGCGGAAUGCUUUACACAUGCAAGUCGAACGGCAGCACGGGGGCAGCCCUGGUGGCGAGUGGCGAACGGGUGGGUAAUACAUCGGAACGUGCCCGGUCGUGGGGGAUAACGUAGCGAAAGUUACGCUAAUACCGCAUACGAUCUGAGGAUGAAAGCGGGGGACCUUCGGGCCUCGCGCGAUCGGAGCGGCCGAUGUCAGAUUAGGUAGUUGGUGGGGUAAAGGCCUACCAAGCCGACGAUCUGUAGCUGGUCUGAGAGGACGACCAGCCACACUGGGACUGAGACACGGCCCAGACUCCUACGGGAGGCAGCAGUGGGGAAUUUUGGACAAUGCGCGCAAGCCUGAUCCAGCCAUUCCGCGUGCAGGACGAAGGCCUUCGGGUUGUAAACUGCUUUUGUACGGAACGAAAAGGCUCUGGCUAAUACCUGGGGCUCAUGACGGUACCGGAAGAAUAAGCACCGGCUAACUACGUG
rnacentral:rRNA from 1 species